CUGGCGGCAGGCCUAACACAUGCAAGUCGAGCGGUAACAGGUCCAGCUUGCUGGAUGCUGACGAGCGGUACUGGACGGGUGAGUGGUAAUGCGGAUAGGAAUCUGCCCAGUGGGGAUAACCUGGGGAAACCCAGGCUAAUACUGCAUACGUCCUACGGGAGAAAGGGGGGCCCGGCUCCCGCCAUGGGAUGACGCCUGGCGUCGGAUUAGCUAGUUGGUGAGGUAACGCUCACCAAGGCCACCAUCCUGUAGCUGGUCUGAGAGGACGAUCAAAUAAGCAUCGGGACUGAGACACGGCCCGAACUCCUACGGGAGGCAGCAGUGUGGGGAAUAUUGGACAAUGGGGAAACCUCCCUUCUGAUCCGGCCAUGCCGCGUGUGUGAAGAAGGCCCUGGUUGUUAAAAAGCACUUUCAGCGAGGAAGAACGCCUAACGGUUAAUACCCGCUAGGAAAGACAUCACUCGCAGAAGAAGCACCGGCUAACUCCGUGCCAGCAGCCGCGGUAAUACGGAGGGUGCAGGCGUUAAUCGGAAUUACUGGGCGUAGCGGCGUAGGUGGCUUGAUAAGCCGGUUAUGAAGCCCCGGGCCUCAACUCCGGGGAAAAUCCAUCCGGAACUGUCAAGCUAGAGUGCAGGAGAGGAAGGUAGAAUUCCCGGUGUAGCGGUGAAAUGCGUAGAUAUGCGGAGGAACACCGAUGGCGAAGGCAGCCUCCUGGGAUAACACUGACGCUCAUGCACGAAAGCGUGGGGAGCAAACAGGAUUAGAUACCCUGGUAGUCCACGCCCUAAACGAUGUCAACUAGCUGUUAAAGCCUUCUGGCCCAGCGCAGCUAACGCGUGAAGUUGACCGCCUGGGGAGCGUACGGUCGCAAGAUUAAAACUCAAAGGAAUUGACGGGACCCGCACAAGCGGUGGAUGAUGUGGAUUAAUUCGAUGCAACGCGAAAAACCUUACCUACCCUUGAUUACGUUCAAAUCCUGAAGAGAUUGGGGAGGCUCGCAAGAGAACCGGAACACAGGUGUUGCAUGGCUGUCGUCAGCUCGUGUCGAGAUGUUGGGUUAAGUCCCGCAACGAGCGCAACCCUUGUCAUUAGUUGCUACGAAAGGGCACUCUAAUGAGACUGCCGGUGACAAACCGGAGGAAGGUGGGGAUGACGUCAAGUCCUCAUGGCCCUUAUGGGUAGGGUCACGUCAUACAAUGGUCGGGACAGAGGGUCGCCAACCCGCGAGGGGGAGCCAAUCCCAGAAACCCGAUCGUAGUCCGAUCGCAGUCUGCAACUCGACUGCGUGAAGUCGGAAUCGCUAGUAAUCGCGGAUCAGCACGUCGCGGUGAAUACGUUCCUGGAACUGUACACACCGCCCGUCACACCAUGGGAGUGGGUUUUACCAGAAGUAGUUAGCCUAACCGUAAGGAGGGCGAUUACCACGGUAGGAUUCAUGAUUGGUGAAGUCGUAACAAGGUAG
rnacentral:rRNA from 1 species